AUACGUAGGGUGCAAGCGUUAAUCGGAAUUACUGGGCGUAAAGCGUGCGCAGGCGGUUUUGUAAGACAGUGGUGAAAUCCCCGGGCUCAACCUGGGAACUGCCAUUGUGACUGCAAGGCUGGAGUGCGGCAGAGGGGGGUGAAAUUCCGCGUGUAGCAGUGAAAUGCGUAGAUAUGCGGAGGAACACCGAUGGCGAAGGCAAUCCCCUGGGCCUGCACUGACGCUCAUGCACGAAAGCGUGGGGAGCAAACAGGAUUAGAUACCCUGGUAGUCCACGCCCUAAACGAUGUCAACUGGUUGUUGGGGAUUUAUUUUCUCAGUAACGAAGCUAACGCGUGAAGUUGACCGCCUGGGGAGUACGGCCGCAAGGUUAAAACUCAAAUGAAUUGGCGGGG
rnacentral:rRNA from 1 species